UACGUAGGGGGCAAGCGUUGUCCGGAUUUAUUGGGCGUAAAGAGCGUGUAGGCGGUCAGGUAGGUCCGUUGUGAAAACUCGAGGCUCAACCUCGGGACGCCGAUGGAAACCAUCUGACUAGAGUCCGGAAGAGGAGAGUGGAAUUCCUGGUGUAGCGGUGAAAUGCGCAGAUAUCAGGAAGAACACCCGUGGCUAAGGCGGCUCUCUAGUACGGUACUGACGCUGAGACGCGAAAGCGUGGGGAGCGAACAGG
rnacentral:rRNA from 1 species